AGGAUGAACGCUGGCGGUCUGCUUAACACAUGCAAGUCGAACGGAGUAGCAAUACUUAGUGGCGGACGGGUGAGUAACGCGUGAGAAUCUACCUUCAGGACGGAGACAACAGUUGGAAACGACUGCUAACCCCCGAUGUACCGAAAGGGCAAAUAUUUAUAGCCUGAAGAAGAGCUCGCGUCCGAUUAGCUAGUUGGAGAGGUAAAAGCUCACCAAGGCGACGAUCGGUAGCUGGUCUGAGAGGACGAUCAGCCACACUGGGACUGAGACACGGCCCAGACUCCUACGGGAGGCAGCAGUGGGGAAUUUUCCGCAAUGGGCGAAAGCCUGACGGAGCAAGACCGCGUGGGGGAAGAAGGCUCUUGGGUUGUAAACCCCUUUUCUCUGGGAAGAACGCAAUGACGGUACCAGAGGAAUCAGCAUCGGCUAACUCCGCGCCAGCAGCCGC
rnacentral:rRNA from 1 species